rnacentral:rRNA from 1 species
CCUCCGGGUGGCAGCAGUGAGGAAUAUUGGUCAAUGGACGAGAGCCUGAACCAGCCAAGUAGCGUGAGGGAGUACUGCCCUAUGGGUUGUAAACCUCUUUUGUCGGGGAGCAAAAGCCGGACGUGUCCGGCUGUGAGAGUACCCGAAGAAAAAGCAUCGGCUAACUCCGUGCCAGCAGCCGCGGUAAUACGGCGGGUGCGGGCGUUAUCCGGGUUUAUUUGGUUUAAAGGGUGCGCAGGCGGAUUUUUAAAGCAGCGGUGAAAUUCUGGGGGCCAAACCCCUCCCAGCCGUUGAAACUGGGGGUCUAGAGUGGGCGAGAGGUAUGCGGAAUGCGUGGUGUAGCGGUGAAAUGCAUAGAUAUCACGCAGAACCCCGAUUGCGAAGGCAGCAUACUGGUGCACAACUGACGCUGAGGCACGAAAGCGUGGGUAUCGAACAGGAUUAGAUACCCUAGUAGUC